UGGGCGGCUAGCUCAGUUGGUAGAGCAACGGACUCUUAAUCCGUGGGUCCAGGGUUCGAGCCCCUGGCCGCCCAU
rnacentral:tRNA from 1 species